UACAGAGGGUGCAAGCGUUAAUCGGAAUUACUGGGCGUAAAGCGUGCGUAGACGGUUACAUAAGUCGGGUGUGAAAGCCCCGGGCUCAACCUGGGAAUUGCAUUCGAGACUGCGUAGCUAGGGUGCGGAAGAGGGAAGCGGAAUUUCCGGUGUAGCGGUGAAAUGCGCAGAUAUCAGGAGGAACACCGGUGGCGAAGGCGGAUCUCUGGGCCUUGCCUGACGCUGAGGCGCGAAAGCUAGGGGAGCGAACAGG
rnacentral:rRNA from 1 species